AUGCUCUGCGCUUUACUACUCUACAUGGUCCUCGCAUAUUGCUCAGGUUCUUUUGCUCAGUAUGUGCUGACUCAGCUACCAUCAAUGUCUGUGUCUCUGCAACAAAAUGCCCAAAUCACUUGUUCAGGGAACAGCAUUGGGGGCAGGUUUGUGCACUGGUACCAGCAGAAACCUGGCAUGGCCCCACUCCUCAUUAUAUAUGAAGAUAGCAAGAGGCCAGAAGGGAUCUCAGACCGAUUCUCUGGCUCCAACUCUGGCAACACAGCCACUUUGAGCAUCGCCAGGGCCAAAGCAGAGGAUGAGGCCGAUUAUUACUGCCAGGUGUGGGACAGCAGCGCUGCUCACAGUGAUACAAACAGAGGGGGAAGUAGCAACAUGCACAUAAGUGCAUAA